GGCCUUGGGAGCUUCCACUCAUGGCAGAGGUGAAGGGGAGCCUGCUUGUGCAGAGGUCACACAGUGACAGAGGGAAUGAGAGAGAGGGGGAAGGUGCCAAGGCCUUCUAAAGAGCAAUGGUAGAACUCAGCUGGCAAAGGAGCAGUAACAUGCCCUCCAUUCCGCCUGAAAACCACCUCCUGCCCACAUGACCUCUCUCCUCAGCCAAGCUACCAACCAAGGGCAAGAGUAAAAUAAAGACACCUGCAGAUGUCAGAAAGCUGGCAGAGCAUGGCUGGAUUCUCUGCUCGAGGUCUCACAUGCCCAAAAUCAAGGUAUUGGCCGGCUGGGCUCUUGUGUGGAGGCUCUGGGGAAGAACCAUUCAGGCUGUGGACAGAAGACAGCUCCUUGUGGCUAUAGGACUGAGAGCCCUGCUUCCCGCCACCGGCCCUUCAAGCACAAGCCCUCCAGGCCUCAAAUCUCUCUGCCUUCCUCUUCUGCUUGUAAAGGCGCAUGUGAUUUCACUGGACCCACUUUCAAAACCCAGGAUAACUUCCCUAUUUUAAAGUCCAUUUACCUUAAUUAAUCUGCACAGCCACUUUGCCAUGUAAAGUAACAUAUUCGUGGGCAUGAAACCAGGGGGUGAAGGUCAUGUGGCUUUGAGAGCAGCACUCUCGGUGACACAUACUCAAUUCUGCUCCUCCAGUGCAAAAGCAGCCACUGACAAUAUGCAAAGGAAUACAUGCAGCCACAACAUGGAAGAAAUACGUGCAUCAACAACACAUAGCAGCGUGUGUAUGUAUGUGCGUAAAGGCCUUGGAACACAGCUGAAGAAUACUUUUCAAAUCCUUCACUGUUAUUUCCUCUAGGGAAGAGAGUGGAGGCCGAGGCUGGGAAUCCAGGAGCUGUUCCCAUUUUAUUCUGCAUACUUCCCUAUCUUCUGAUGACUUCACAAUGUAACCAUUAAGAAAAAUAAAAAUUGCUCAUGCAUUUA